rnacentral:rRNA from 1 species
ACUUCGGGAAACUGAAGCUAAUACCGGAUAAUGACGUAAGUCCAAAGAUUUAUCGCCAAGGGAUGAGCCCGCGUAGGAUUAGCUAGUUGGUGGGGUAAAGGCUCACCAAGGCGACGAUCCUUAGCUGGUCUGAGAGGAUGAUCAGCCACACUGGGACUGAGACACGGCCCAGACUCCUACGGGAGGCAGCAGUGGGGAAUAUUGGACAAUGGGCGAAAGCCUGAUCCAGCAAUGCCGCGUGAGUGAUGAAGGCCUUAGGGUUGUAAAGCUCUUUUACCCGGGAAGAUAAUGACUGUACCGGGAGAAUAAGCCCCGGCUAACUCCGUGCCAGCAGCCGCGGUAAUACGGAGGGGGCUAGCGUUGUUCGGAAUUACUGGGCGUAAAGCGCACGUAGGCGGCUUUGUAAGUUAGAGGUGAAAGCCUGGAGCUCAACUCCAGAAUUGCCUUUAAGACUGCAUCGCUUGAAUCCAGGAGAGGUGAGUGGAAUUCC